rnacentral:rRNA from 1 species
UACGUAGGGGCGAGCGUUAUCCGGAAUUACUGGGCGUAAAGAGCUCGUAGGUGGUUUGUCACGUCGUCUGUGAAAUUCCGGGGCUUAACCUCGGGCGUGCAGGCGAUACGGGCAAUACUUGAGUGCUGUAGGGGAGACUGGAAUUCCUGGUGUAGCGGUGGAAUGCGCAGAUAUCAGGAGGAACACCGGUGGCGAAGGCGGGUCUCUGGGCCUUACCUGACGCUGAGGAGCGAAAGCAUGGGUAGCGAACAGGAUUAGAUACCCUGGUAGU